rnacentral:rRNA from 1 species
AUUGAACGCUGGCGGCAUGCCUUACACAUGCAAGUCGAGCGGAUGAAGAGAGCUUGCUCUCUGAUUCAGCGGCGGACGGGUGAGUAAUGCCUAGGAAUCUGCCUGGUAGUGGGGGACAACGUUUCGAAAGGAACGCUAAUACCGCAUACGUCCUACGGGAGAAAGCAGGGGACCUUCGGGCCUUGCGCUAUCAGAUGAGCCUAGGUCGGAUUAGCUAGUAGGUGAGGUAAAGGCUCACCUAGGCGACGAUCCGUAACUGGUCUGAGAGGAUGAUCAGUCACACUGGAACUGAGACACGGUCCAGACUCCUACGGGAGGCAGCAGUGGGGAAUAUUGGACAAUGGGCGAAAGCCUGAUCCAGCCAUGCCGCGUGUGUGAAGAAGGUCUUCGGAUUGUAAAGCACUUUAAGUUGGGAGGAAGGGCAGUAAGUUAAUACCUUGCUGUUUUGACGUUACCAACAGAAUAAGCACCGGCUAACUUCGUGCCAGCCGCCGCAGUAAAAC